rnacentral:rRNA from 1 species
AUUGAACGCUGGCGGCAGGCCUAACACAUGCAAGUCGAGCGAGCGGCGGACGGGUGAGUAAUGUAUGGGGACUGCCCGAUAGAGGGGGAUAACUACUGGAAACGGUGGCUAAUACCGCAUACUAUCGGAUAACCCAUAUGGGAUUAGCUAGUAGGUGGGGUAAAGGCUCACCUAGGCGACGCUCCCUAGCUGGUCUGAGAGGAUGAUCAGCCACACGGGACCUGAGAAACGGCACGGACGCAUACGGAGGCAGAAGUGGGGAAUAUGGGAAAAUGGGCGCAAGCCUGAAGCAGCCAUGCAGAGUGUAUGAAGAAGGCCUUAGGAUUGUAAAGUACUUACAACGGGGAGGCGUUACCAGCAGAAGAAGCACCGGCUAAAUCCGUGCCAGCAGCCGCGGUAAUAC